rnacentral:rRNA from 1 species
AUACGGAAGGUCCGGGCGUUAUCCGGAUUUAUUGGGUUUAAAGGGAGCGCAGGCGGAGAUGCAAGCGUGACGUCAAAUUUCGGGGCUCAACCCCGUCUCGCGUCGCGAACUGCGUCCCUUGGUUGCGGGAAGGGGAGGCGGAACUCGUGGUGUAGCGGUGAAAUGCAUAGAUAUCACGAAGAACUCCGAUCGCGAAGGCAGCCUUCCGGCCCGUCAACGACGCUCAUGCUCGAAGGUGCGGGUAUCAAACAGGAUUAGACACCCUGGUAGUCCGCACAGUAAACGAUGGACACCCGCGGUUUGGCCUAUAUGGCUGAGCCGCCAAGCGUAAGCGUUAAGUGUCCCACCUGGGGAGUACGCCGGCAACGGUGAAACUCAAAUGAAUUGACGGGG